rnacentral:rRNA from 1 species
CCUACGGGAGGCUGCAGUGGGGAAUAUUGCACAAUGGGCGCAAGCCUGAUGCUGCCAUGCCGCGUGUGUGAAGAAGGCCUUCGGGUUGUAAAGCACUUUCAGCGGGGAGGAAGGCGUUAAGGUUAAUAACCUUGGCGAUUGACGUUACCCGCAGAAGAAGCACCGGCUAACUCCGUGCCAGCAGCCGCGGUAAUACGGAGGGUGCAAGCGUUAAUCGGAAUUACUGGGCGUAAAGCGCACGCAGGCGGUCUGUCAAGUCGGAUGUGAAAUCCCCGGGCUCAACCUGGGAACUGCAUUCGAAACUGGCAGGCUAGAGUCUUGUAGAGGGGGGUAGAAUUCCAGGUGUAGCGGUGAAAUGCGUAGAGAUCUGGAGGAAUACCGGUGGCGAAGGCGGCCCCCUGGACAAAGACUGACGCUCAGGUGCGAAAGCGUGGGGAGCAAACAGGAUUAGAUACCCCUGUAGUC